rnacentral:rRNA from 1 species
UGCGCAGGCGGCGUCGCAAGUCGAGUGUGAAAGCCCCGGGCUUAACUUGGGAAUUGCGCUCGAAACUACGGUGCUGGAGUAUGGCAGAGGAAGGUGGAAUUCCACGUGUAGCGGUGAAAUGCGUAGAGAUGUGGAGGAACACCGAUGGCGAAGGCAGCCUUCUGGGCCAAUACUGACGCUCAUGCACGAAAGCGUGGGGAGCAAACAGGAUUAGAUACCCUGGUAGUCCACGCCCUAAACGAUGAUGACUAGUUGUUGGAGGAGUUAAAUCCUUUAGUAACGCAGCUAACGCGUGAAGUCAUCCGCCUGGGGAGUACGGUCGCAAGAUUAA